rnacentral:rRNA from 1 species
UAAGCGGAGGAAAAGAAACUAACAAGGAUUCCCCUAGUAACGGCGAGUGAAGAGGGAAGAGCCCAAGAUUGAAAGCUGGCGUCUUCGGCGUCCGCAUUGUAAUCUCAAGAAGUGUUUUCCGCUUCGGACCAUGCCUAAGUCCCUUGGAAAAGGGCAUCAUAGAGGGUGAUAAUCCCGUACAUGGCAUGGAGCGCCCGAGGCUUUGUGAUACGCUUUCUAAGAGUCGAGUUGUUUGGGAAUGCAGCUCAAAAUGGGUGGUAAAUGCCAUCUAAGGCUAAAUAUUGGGGAGAGACCGAUAGCGAACAAGUACAGUGAUGGAAAGAUGAAAAGAACUUUGAAAAGAGAGUUAAACAGUACGUGAAAUUGCCAAAAGGGAAGGGUAGGAGGUCAGAGAUGCGUUCUGGGAUUCAGCCUUGCUUUUGCUUGGUGUUUUUCCCAGUGGGCAGGCCAACGUCGGUUUUGGGCACUGGAGAAGGGUGGAAGGAACGUGGCACCCCUCGGGGUGUGUUAUAGCCUUGCACUGGAUACAGCGACCGAGACCGAGGACAGCAGCGUACUCGCAAGAGCGGGCCUUCGGGCACCUUUACGCUUAGGGCGUUGGCAUAAUGGCCCUCUACCACCCGUCUUGAAACACGGACCAAGGAGUCU